rnacentral:rRNA from 1 species
GACGAACGCUGGCGGCGUGCCUAAUACAUGCAAGUCGAGCGAACAGAAAAGGAGCUUGCUCCUUUGACGUUAGCGGCGGACGGGUGAGUAACACGUGGGCAACCUACCCUAUAGUUUGGGAUAACUCCGGGAAACCGGGGCUAAUACCGAAUAAUCUCUUUUGCUUCAUGGUGAAAGACUGAAAGACGGUUUCGGCUGUCGCUAUAGGAUGGGCCCGCGGCGCAUUAGCUAGUUGGUGAGGUAACGGCUCACCAAGGCGACGAUGCGUAGCCGACCUGAGAGGGUGGUCGGCCACACUGGGACUGAGACACGGCCCAGACUCCUACGGGAGGCAGCAGUAGGGAAUCUUCCACAAUGGGCGAAAGCCUGAUGGAGCAACGCCGCGUGAGUGAAGAAGGUUUUCGGAUCGUAAAACUCUGUUGUAAGGGAAGAACAAGUACAGUAGUAACUGGCUGUACCUUGACGGUACCUUAUUAGAAAGCCACGGCUAACUACGUGCCAGCAGCCGCUGUAAAAC